rnacentral:rRNA from 1 species
AGAGAGAGACAUGCGCGCAUAUCAAUAAGCGGAGGAAAAGAAACUAACAAGGAUUCCCUUAGUAACGGCGAGUGAAGCGGGAAGAGCUCAAAUUUGAAAUCUUCAAGGUUCUACCUUGACGAAUUGUAGUUUAUAGAAGUGUUUUCUGUUAGUGGAGUGGCAAAAGUUCUUUGGAAUAGGACAUCAUAGAGGGUGAGAAUCCCGUAUUUGGUCAUUCCUCCUAGCGUUGUGAUACACUUUCAACGAGUCGGAUUGUUUGGGAAUGCAGUCCAAAAUGGGUGGUAAAUUACAUCUAAAGCUAAAUAUUGGCGAGAGACCGAUAGCGAACAAGUACCGUGAGGGAAAGAUGAAAAGAACUUUGAAAAGAGAGUUAAACAGUACGUGAAAUUGUCAAAAGGGAAGCGUUUGACACCAGUGUUGUUUUCUCGAAAAUCAAUUACAAAUGGUUGGAUUUUGAUGUAGUUAUGACUUCAUCAGCUUUCUGCACUUUCUUUACUAUCUUUCUUAAUGCACUUUUCGUUUAACAAGUCAACAUCAAUUUCUUUUGUUGUAAAAGGGUACGAGGAAGGUGGCUUUCUUUUCGGAGAAAGUGUUUAUAGCCUUGUGCCUCUGCAAUCGGAGAGAUUGAGGUCUGCAGCGUAGAUCCUUCGGGGUUAGAUACAUUUGUGCUAAGUUAUAGCUUUUCAUAGACAACCUGUUGACUAUGAUUGAGUCUUGUAGCUUACUCGCUUAUGCUAUUUUACCUACGCUUAGGAUGUUGAUCUGUAGUGCGUGCGC